rnacentral:rRNA from 1 species
CCUACGGUAGGCUGCAGUGAGGAAUAUUGGUCAAUGGACGGACGUCUGAACCAGCCAUGCCGCGUGCAGGAAGACUGCUCUAUGAGUUGUAAACUUCUUUUGUACAAGGAUAAACCUUAAUACGUGUAUUCAGCUGAAAGUACUGUACGAAUAAGGAUCGGCUAACUCCGUGCCAGCAGCCGCGGUAAUACGGAGGAUCCAAGCGUUAUCCGGAUUUAUUGGGUUUACAGGGUGCGUAGGUGGAUUGAUAAGUUAGUGGUGAAAUGUCCGAGCUUAACUCUGGAACUGCAUCUGAAACUGGCGAUCUAGAGAGUAGAUGCGGUAGGCGGAAUGUAUGGUGGAGCGGUGAAAUGCUUAGAGAUCAUAAAGAACACCGAUUGCGAAGGCAGCUUACCAAUCUAUAUCUGACGUUGAGGCACGAAAGCGUGGGGAGCAAACAGGAUUAGAUACCCUUGUAGUC